UACAGAGGUCCCAAGCGUUGUUCGGAUUCACUGGGCGUAAAGGGUGCGUAGGUGGCGGGGAAAGUUUGAUGUGAAAUCUCCGGGCUUAACCCGGAAAUGGCAUUGAAUACUAUUCCGCUUGGAGGGUUGGAGGGGGACUGGAAUUCUCGGUGUAGCAGUGAAAUGCGUAGAUAUCAAGAGGAACACCUGAGGUGAAGACGGGUUGCUGGGCUGACACUGACGCUGAGGCGCGAAAGCUAGGGUAGCAAACGGG
rnacentral:rRNA from 1 species